rnacentral:piRNA from 1 species
UGCCAAAGUCAGACGAGAUGAUGGCA